GACUGGAGUGCCAAACUCUACAGCUGCAAGAAAGAACUCAGAGAACUGUGAGAAAGAUACCAUUUUGGAGCUGGGGAUAGGAUACGGCUCUCCAUAAAACGAUGGUUCAUCCCACAGCAUCUCAUCCUUCACCAAGAAUUCACCAUUUUCCUCUCUGCUGGGCUUCUUGCUGGGCUCACUCAACUGCAUUGUCUUACAAGACGUCACUUUCUUGCCUGCUCAUGGAUGGAGAGGUAGUUUCUGGCAGAGUACAGGUUCCAAGACUUAACUCAAACCCUUUGUACAAAACAGCACUGCUUCCUUUCCCUCUCCACCAUCCCUCCCCUUGACUAAUCAGCAAAUCUGCUCUAGGCAGCGCUUUGACAAUCCUUUGAUGACAGCCACAUGUGCUACUGAUGCCACCCAUAACCACCAGCUGGCUCACACAAUGUUAAGAUGAAAGACAACUGAAGAGUGCAACAUGCAUAUCACCCCCUGUGAGGCUGCAAUUCAUCCAAAGGAGGACUUACAAAGGCACUCAAGUUUGUGUAAGCAGAGUCAGGAUGAGCUCUCCCCUGACCUCUGGUGGUGAAUUAUGGGAAGUGCGGAAAGAAGGCCAGGAAAUGUGAACUCUCAAAUAUUUGCAUGGGCACACCCAGCAAGGCAGCCUGGGAUGGUUAUUUUGACAGCUGGGCUCCCCAAUUUCUUUG